CCCGAAACCCUAGCCGCCACCGUUCACUCGCCUGUCUCCUCUCUAUCGCUCUCCCCUUCCCACGACGCUUCCGUGGCUCCUCCUCCUCGCGCCCUCGCUGCGUCGCCGCCGUUGCCCGCCCUCCUCGCAGCGCCGCCGCCGCCACCCGCUCUCCUCGCUGCGUCGCCGUCGCCUGCUCCUCUCACACCCAGCUGGAUCGCCGUGCCUUCUUCUCGCCGUCGUGGUGAGCUUGUGGGGGUCGGAUGAUGAGCUCGCCAUGGCGGAGACCAACCACCACCUCUUGUGUGCUGCAUUGAGUUGACCAGCCGAGCUUUCUCGGAGAAAGAAAAAAAAAAGGAGAAGGGAGAGGCAUCUGGUUCCUCCUUAACGCCGUGGGACUAAAUCCGGUGGAGGGCAGGCCGUGGUCACCGGAUCUGGCAGCCACGACCUCCUCGCCGGCAGAUCCGGUCAUCCGGAGGCGAGGGCUAGCACAUUGAGGUUCAUUGCAAGUGUCGACGUCGGCCGUUCCUUCAGAGUGAUCCAGGUUGGCUUUUGGCUGUCGAAUCAGUUGAUGGUGAGUUCUUGGUCGCUUGAUUUAGCGGCACCGGGCUCGUCGAUGACAGAUCGGGCGGCGCUGAGGAGGAUGAAGUUCCCGUCCACUCCCGCGUCCUCUGCUGGAAGCCUUCUUCGCCGGGAGGAUUCCUGCGCGGGAUGCGGCGGUGCUGAUCCCGGUGUACGGAUCCUGGGCGUGAUUCGGUGAGCUGAGAACUGGUUUGCUGCUGCUGCGGCGUGCGCCAUGGAUGGCGACGCGGAUGCCGUGGUGAAUGGCCGCCCGAAAUGCACCGCAACUCGUGGGUGGAUCUUGCGGAGGAGAGUCCAGAUUUUGAUUUUUGGUUUUGUGGGUGAUCUGUUCCGCAAAAGUCGGGGAGGCACGGGAGCGGGCAGGCGUGCCAGAUCUUAGGUGACGGAGGGCGACGUCUGCGGCUUCCCGGUGUGCCGCCCCUGCUAUGAGUACGAGCGAAAGGAUGGCGCCCAGGCUUGCCCCCAGUGCAAGACCAAGUACAAGCGCCACAAAGAAAAAAAAAAGUCUGGAUCUCUAGAGGAGGCUGACGAACUGAAGCGGCAAGGCGAGGCGAUGAGGCUAGGGCCUGGGGAUGGCGAGCACAAGUGGACCUGCUGCGUGCACCUCGACGCUCCUCCAUCUAUCCCGCACACGAACCACCUUAUUUUCUUUCUCCUCCGGAUUUCGGCCGCUCAUCCUCUUCCCUGGUGGAGUAGUUUGAGCUUUGCACUAUGGGUUGGCACUUGCAGGGGCUGAUAACUGGAGGUGUGAUUCUGCUCGUCAGUAGCAGGAAGAAUUCACACAAUUUUCUGUUCAGCAAGGACCUCUUCUUCGUGUAUUGCUUCCACCAAUCAUAUUUAAUGCUGGCUCGGAUAAAAGAAGUGGACACAUACCUUAUCGAGACUCAAAGUUGACACGCAUUCUCCAGCUUUCUUUGGGUGGAAAUGCAAGAGCAUCCAUCAUCUGUACCAUGAGUCCAGCGCAAACACAUGUAGAACAAUCUAGAAAUACGUACUCUAUUCUUUGCAACCUGUGCCAAGGAGGUUACAAAUAAUGCAAAAGUUAAUAUGGUGGUAUCAGAUAAGCAAUUGGUGAAGCACCUUCAGAUAGAAGUUGCUAGACUUGAAACUGAACUGAGAAUCCCUGAUCGUGCCUCCUCUUCUGAGAUCAUUAUAAUGGAAAGGAACAGGAAGAUUAGACAGCAGGUGGAAAAAGAAAUGGAGGAACUCAAGAAGCAACGAGACAAUGCACAGUCGAAACUUGAAUUACAGAAGAAGAUGGGUGAUAAUCAGCCAUAAGGCUUCGGGGUGGCCAGGGGGCGACGGAGGUAGCAAGCACCCUGACUGGCCAGCGGAAAACGAGGAACAUAUAUAGCAGUGGCAGCGGGAGAUGUGGGAGGGCCAGCGCCGAAGAGGAUCGUGAAGCCGACGAGCCGCGUGAAACACAUGCUUGGAGCCGAUCCAAGCAAAUUGCUCGAUUCGUGGCAUGUUUUGCUGAGUCUAAGCAUGACGUACUUAUCAAGAUGGGUGUGUGCAAUGCAAGGCAAUGAUGCACAAAAUCCAUCCUCGAUUCUUAAGUUAAAAGUGUUCCAAGUCCCAUGCUCCUUGGUACAUGCUUCAACUAGGCAGCCCGAAGACUCCGGGAAGCUCUCUCGGGUGCCCAGAGGACCAUUUCUAGGGGCCCCAAGGCCAAGCUCUACGCCUUCCACUUGCAAGCCCAAAAACUCAGGAGACUCCGUCAAACCUCCUAGGGUGCUCGGAGGGCCAUUGCUCGGGGGCUGUGGCCUUUUUGUUUGGGAAUAAGUUCAUCUAAGGUCCCUUAACUUGUCAACCAAUCCGAUUUACGUCCUUCAACUGCAAAACUAGAUACAACGGGUCCCUCAGCUAUCAAAACCGGUGCAGAUUAGGUCCCUCGGCGGUUUCGAUAGCGGUUUUGGCGCCUACGUGGCUAAUUCGAUCUGACAUGGCACCGAUGUGGGCGCUUACGUGGCAAUUUGAUCCGAAAAAAGGACCCAUAUGUCAGUUUCACACACAUUAAUAAAAGAAUGGUGGGGCCCACGUUGGCCCCACAUGUCUCCC